rnacentral:rRNA from 1 species
AGAGCAGAUAUCACCUUAUCCGGGAUCCUCAUAUGGAUAACUGCGGAAAUACUGGAGCUAAUACAUGCAACUAUACCCCAACGCAAGGCGGGGUGCAAUUAUUAGAACAGACCAAACGUUUUCGGACGUUGUUUGUUGACUCUGAAUAAAGCAGUUUACUGUCAGUUUCGACUGACUCUAUCCGGAAAGGGUGUCUGCCCUUUCAACUAGAUGGUAGUUUAUUGGACUACCAUGGUUGUUACGGGUAACGGAGAAUAAGGGUUCGACUCCGGAGAGGGAGCCUUAGAAACGGCUACCACGUCCAAGGAAGGCAGCAGGCGCGAAACUUAUCCACUGUUGAGUAUGAGAUAGUGACUAAAAAUAUAAAGACUCAUCCUUUUGGAUGAGUUAUUUCAAUGAGUUGAAUACAAAUGAUUCUUCGAGUAGCAAGGAGAGGGCAAGUCUGGUGCCAGCAGCCGCGGUAAUUCCAGCUCUCCUAGUGUAUCUCGUUAUUGCUGCGGUUAAAAAGCUCGUAGUUGGAUCUAGGUUACGUGCCGCAGUUCGCAAUUUGCGUCAACUGUGGUCGUGACUUCUAAUUUGCUGGUUUGAGGUUGGGUUCGCCCUUCAACUGCCAGCA